rnacentral:rRNA from 1 species
GGUCUGUUCGCCCUUUAAAAUCUAACAUGAGCUGAGUUCAGAACGGCGUGAGCUAGUUCAGUUUCUAUCCUCUUUUAAAAAAUAAGCUAAUUUUGUACGAAAGGACUUUUUCGCUAAAGUAAUGCUUUGGCCCAGCCCUAUAAUUACACAAGUAUUGGUACAUGACGAGCUGAUCAACUCAUAAAAAGGGCUG